UGGAGACAAAGGAGAAAAGGGACAGCCUGGGGACGUGGGAGAACCUGGAGAGAAGGGCACCAAAGGAGAGCGAGGGGAAGGAGGUCAGAAGGUAAAGGGCAGCCAGGGGGGGCUUUUCCUCCUUUUCCCAAAUCCCACA